rnacentral:rRNA from 1 species
UACGUAGGGUGCAAGCGUUGUCCGGAAUUAUUGGGCGUAAAGAGCUCGUAGGCGGCUUGUCGCGUCGGCUGUGAAAACCCGGGGCUCAACCCCGGGCCUGCAGUCGAUACGGGCAAACUAGAGUGUGGUAGGGGAGACUGGAAUUCCUGGUGUAGCGGUGAAAUGCGCAGAUAUCAGGGGGAACACCGGUGGCGAAGGCGGGUCUCUGGGCCAUAACUGACGCUGAGGAGCGAAAGCGUGGGGAGCGAACAGG